UGCUUUACACAUGCAAGUCGAGCGGCAGCGCGGGGGCAACCCUGGCGGCGAGCGGCGAACGGGUGAGGAAUACAUCGGAACGUGCCCGAGAGUGGGGGAUAACGCCGCGAAAGCGGCGCUAAUACCGCAUAUUCUCCGAGGAGGAAAGUGGGGGACCUGCAAGGGCCUCACGCUCACGGAGCGGCCGAUGUCGGAUUAGCUAGUUGGUGGGGUAAAGGCUUACCAAGGCGACGAUCCGUAGCUGGUCUGAGAGGAUGAUCAGCCACACUGGGACUGAGACACGGCCCAGACUCCUACGGGAGGCAGCAGUGGGGAAUUUUGGACAAUGGGGGCAACCCUGAUCCAGCCAUGCCGCGUGCGGGAAGAAGGCCUUCGGGUUGUAAACCGCUUUUAGUCGGGAAGAAAAGAUCAAGCCUAAUAAGCUUGGUUCUUGACGGUACCGGCGGAAUAAGCACCGGCUAACUACGUGCCAGCAGCCGCGGUAAUACGUAGGGUGCGAGCGUUAAUCGGAAUUACUGGGCGUAAAGCGUGCGCAGGCGGUUCGUUAAGUCAGAUGUGAAAGCCCCGGGCUCAACCUGGGAACUGCAUUUGAAACUGGCGGGCUUGAGUGUGGCAGAGGGGGGUGGAAUUCCGCGUGUAGCAGUGAAAUGCGUAGAGAUGCGGAGGAACACCGAUGGCGAAGGCAG
rnacentral:rRNA from 1 species